ACCGAGAGGAAUAAUGAGCAAGAGGAGGAUGAAGAGGUAGACAUGGAGAACUGCGUGACGUAUGAAGUCACAUCUGCCUCCACCCUGCACUUCAUUUGCACCUUCCUACAUCAUUUGCUUCUCUUGCACGACGAUGUAAAUGCACGCGCAGACAUGCAACAUACAUCCGGAUAGCUGAGCCCUCCGAGCACAUGCGGCUCUGCAGGCACUUGUUGACAGAUGAGGACGUUUCGGAGACAAACAUAUUAGAGCCAUUUAUACAGAGAGCUAAUGAACUGAAGAGAGCUACGAGGGGAAUAAGAUGUGUUUAACUUCUGCAGGAGCCUGUGGGUUAGAGUUCGAGAGUUAGAGCCAUGGAUUACACUGCACAUGGAAUGGGAUGUUUGGAGGAUGGAAUGUGAUUCAUAUAACAUCAAGGAUUCGGCAGUUCCCCUUGUUGAGUGGACAACCUUCUGAGGGGGAAUCGAUAACUUUGAACUUGAAGGUCGAGAGGAUGGUGGUGGCGUUACAGGCGAGAAAGCUGCCAAGCAAGUGACUGCAGUUUGAGACUGUUUCAACAUUUGUAAUUGUGACGCUAUUGGAUAUGUUCAACGAGAUCCCAGGACAUUUCCAAACACAUUUGUGGCAAACAGAACAGAGAUUAGGCUCAAAUGACAGAGUGUCUGUCCCACUGGUAAGCUCAGACGCGUGAAAACACAUGGCUAGUGUUAAGUAGGGCCACAUCGGAAGAAAGGCACCCAUCCAUUGCGCCCAUCACUUCAGGCCUGAUCGACGAUGAUCUGCAAAUGGGUUUGCUGUUGGCAGAGUCUCCCUAUCUCUCCAGGAUGAUUAUGUUGGCAGCCUUCUGCCAUUGGAAUCCAUCUGUCUUCCUCUCCGUUUGGUGCAGAUGGAGCAACAUGACAAGGGCAGGGGAGCCAAUCCAUUCCCACCUUGUCAUCUGCAGGCAUUUCGAUCUGCCACACUGCUCUUCCAUCUCGAUUAGGGGGUGGCCUGCUGGCGGGAGACGAGUCAGUAUGGACACAAAGCCUGCCGGUCCAUCCAGGAUACAUCACCCCGUAGUUUACUGGCUUACGGGUGUCCUUCAGGAUGCAGCGGGAUGGCUGUGCACUAUCCUCCUGCAGAGUUGCUUCUGGCAGUGUACCUACACAGGCCAAGGGAUGAUAUAACAGCCUCAUGACACUAGGGGGGGAAAUGACCCUUGUCUGAAGUGCUUGCUUAAAGAGAGGAGGUCCUCCUCUGCAGGGACACUGUGACUAGAAUUCACAUCUGAAGACAAAGCCGGUACGACCUCCCAGCUCCACCCUCCUCCUCUGUGGAUUCACCCGACUCUCGCUCACCUGUGUCUCCACCUCAGCCUCUAUCUUCCGGUGCCGUGAGCUCCAGCUACACCACCUGCUGUGCCUCUCGCCUGAGCCUGAGCCACCAUCUACAACCUGAGCAAACAAAUAAACUACUCUAAACCCUUCGCCUGCCUCAGUGUCCACUUUCGAGUUCACAAUACCACCCUACAAAUUGUAACAGGAUUAAGUAUUUUUAAUAGGAAGUUGGAGCUUCUGAGAAAAUGGGUGCAUUUCUCACUUCUUUUUUUAUGUCUUCCAUAAUACCACCUGAUAUUCUUUUUGAAAUGAUGGUAAAAUAGACAACAAGUUCUCACCCCCAACCUGUGGCAUGUUAUGACUUGCUACCAACAUUGUCAAGUGCUUGUGGUUUGGUCAGGUUUACUCACAGAAAAAAUCCCCACCUGAUUAGGUUUGGGCAGGAAAAACUACUUCAGUUUAGGAAAAGAUGACAGUUUGGGUUAAAAUAGCGCUGAGUUUGCAACGGUUAUUAGGUAAAGUGACAUAACUCUUGUCCCAUUACGCAAGCGAUUCAACUUAAGUACAGCACCUUUUAUGUAAUGACGUAAAUUAAAGUCAAAUCACUUGUGAUUCUUUGUCACAAACAGGAUGUGAACCCCU